ensembl:antisense A730035I17Rik RIKEN cDNA A730035I17 gene
UGCUGUUGCUCUUUACCACCGCCGCCGCCGCCGUGGUCCUUAGUGCCCAAGCCGCCCCCUUGCUCGUCUUGGGGAUUCGCAUCAGUGCUGUGAAGUCUCUUGGGGCAGCGGAAUCGCAGAUGUGCCACAUAGGGGAACUCAAACUGGAAACGUUGGCUGCAUUCCAGUUCCAUUCGGGACAACACCUCAGAAGCUUCGUCCACCCUAUGAUGUGCAAGGAAAUUACCCUCAGACAUCUCCAUCACACUUGCUGAGACUCACCCGGAAGAUGUAAGGUACUGUUCUCUUGUCCGUGGACUUGAGGGCUACGAAGGCUAUGCUGUCAUACAGGGAAGUAUGGCUCAGUACACAGGGACCGAAUAUGGCGUUCUCUGGGAUGUCGCAGGUUGUAUAUACACUGGUAAAAAUGUCUGUCAGACACUGUUGGACAGCCUUGGCAUCUCCAUCCCAGAUGCCUCUCUGGAUGCCUGAAUCCUCCAUCACUGGAGACAGAUACCCAGGACAAGAAGAGAGUUGUUAUUGCCUUUUCUGCUACGAACCUCGGCAGAGCGUUUCCGCUACCAGACAUAUUUUCUUUGCACUUGCCGGCUUUUUUACAUAGCUCCUACUUUAAAAAUAAAGCCGAUCAAUCUGU